GGCAUUGCUCAAAAAGCACCUGCGUGUGCAGCUUGGUGUACAGGCUGCAAACUUGACAUCCACAUUAUUUCCCUGGAGGCCACUUGGUCCAAAGAUUGGGGCAUGUGCCUGGGGACUCUCCCUUCCUCUCCCCAGGAAAUUUGUUUGUCUUAGAAAACCUGUUGGGGCAACAGCCAAGCCUGUUAAAAAAGUCCAGUUAAGAGGAAGCAGUUAACCCAGCUGAGGCUUGUGGGCCAACGGUGUGGGAUUGGAGGAGACGGGGAGGAGUAGAGAGAGGGGAGGCAAUAAAAAGGUGUGGAAGGAGGGAUGGGAGAGCCAGGGAGAGAGGUUGUUCCUUCAGCCCUAGUCAGCAACCUGUGUGUGGCUCUGUGUGUGCGUGCUCCGGAAGGCAGGUCUUUGACUAUCUACUCUCCUAGCCCGCACACGUUCCCUCCAUCAUUCUCCACCGUAGCUCCCAAAACAUGGAACUGAGACAUAAUGUGCAGGCCCUCCUGGGGCCUGACUUUACACCUGAGGUGUUGCUCUUGUACUGAGUAAAUGACUCCUGCCACGUUGGGGACAUGUGGCCGUGGGUGUUGAGAGUGGCUGUUGCCCUCUCUUAGCUCAGCAGUUCUGCAUGUCCAGCCAGGAAGGGGUGGAAUUCCUAAGUCUGGCCUACUUAGCAAGGAAGCUCCUGGCACUGAUACCCCAUGUGCUGGCCCCAGAGGCCUUUCCGUGAGGCCAAAGUCUAGCUGGAGAGAGAAGAUGAGAAAGGGGUCGGCGUGCAGCUCAGCGGUAGAGCGCUGGCCCAGCAUGUUCAAGGCCCUGGGUUCCAUCCGUAAGAGGGCUUCACUGUCUUGGAGCUGUUGGAGGCUGCAGGGGCAGCUGCUGGUGCUGGAGGCCUCCAUGAGCAUCAGCCCACGCUGGUAGAAACUUGCUUCCUGGGAAUCAGAAGAGCACUGUAAAGGGAUCCUCUCUUCCACUAUGAGCGUGGCUAUAGGGGGCCUUGGUUUCCUGUGAG
rnacentral:lncRNA from 1 species